GAUUAACGCGAAGAACCUUACCUGGCCUUGACAUGCAAGUAGUAGAAGGGUGAAAGCCUGACGAGGUAGCAAUACCAGCUUGCACAGGUGCUGCAUGGCUGUCGUCAGCUCGUGUCGUGAGAUGUUGGGUUAAGUCCCGCAGCGAGCGCAACCCCUGUGUCCUGUUGCCACCCCGGCGUGAGUCGGGAGCACUCUGGACAGACUGCCUCGCUUAAACGAGGAGGAAGGUGGGGAUGACGUCAAGUCAGUAUGGCCCUUACGGCCAGGGCUGCACACGUACUACAAUGCCCGGUACAAAGGGAAGCAAGACCGUCAGGUGGAGCAAAUCCCCAAAAACCGGGCCCAGUUCAGAUUGUCGUCUGCAACUCGACGGCAUGAAGCUGGAAUCGCUAGUAAUGGCGCAUCAGCUACGGCGCCGUGAAUACGUUCCCGGGCCUUGUACACACCGAAUCACUAGU
rnacentral:rRNA from 1 species